GUCCUACGGGAGACAGCAGUGGGGAAUAUUGCACAAUGGGGGAAACCCUGAUGCAGCAACGCCGCGUGAGUGAAGAAGUAUUUCGGUAUGUAAAGCUCUAUCAGCAGGGAAGAAGAUGACGGUACCUGAUUAAGAAGCCCCGGCUAACUACGUGCCAGCAGCCGCGGUAAUACGUAGGGGGCAAGCGUUAUCCGGAUUUACUGGGUGUAAAGGGAGCGUAGACGGCAGGGCAAGUCUGGAGUGAAAGGCAGGGGCCCAACCCCUGGACUGCUCUGGAAACUGUCCGGCUGGAGUGCAGGAGAGGG
rnacentral:rRNA from 1 species